rnacentral:lncRNA from 1 species
CCGGCGAUGAAAGUGAGACUAUCAGGAUCUUCAGCCUGUCCCAGUGGUCAUCGAACUCCUUACUGCCUCCAUCUGACUCGUCUCUUCUCCAUCUUUUGGAACAGCUAGACAGUCGGCGACGGUCAGACAACAAAAGACCUGUUGUUGUCAUGUGUCGGGACGGAUGUACACAAAGUGGACUGUUCUGUUGUAUAUCCAAUAUCAGAGAUCAAAUGAAGAUGGACGAGGAGGUGGACAUAUUCCAAACAGCAAGGCGGUUGAAAAAGCGGCGACCAGAGGCGCUAGAAAAUGUUAAACAAUACCAGUACUGCUACAACAUUCUGGGGCUAUAUCUGGAUUCAACUGACGUGUACGUCAACUGAAAAGAACUCAAUACGUGUAUAGUGUUACACGCCAAAUGUAUAUAGAUUCACAUCAACUGAAAAUAAUCAAAUGAGUACAUGUAUAUUGCUACACUUAAUAUGUUGACUUUGUUUGAUUUUCUGCAUCUUCGAAGAAUGUUUUCAAAUAGUUGCUUCCUCUCCUCAUGGUUUGAGUGAUUAUUAUAAACAGCACUUAUAUAGUGAUUACAUUCGCAGAGGGAUAUUUUUUUGUAUACAUGUACCAUAAACGAUUUAAAACCUGUCCAGCUUAUAGAGCCGAACUAAGGUGAUGAAAAUGUUUCCACGUACACGCAUAUUAAUUGAAUACAACUUAACUUUGAUUGUGGCAUGACAGUGGAACAACAUAUGUUUUCAACUCAACCGAUUUGCGUAUCAACUGAACAAAGACAAUGUGCAUUGGAUAUCACUUGAAUGAAAAGUGGGUAUCGUUCGCCUUAAUACAAAAGACAAUAUAAACUAUUAAUGUAAAUGCAUCACCUUUGUUAUGGAGAAAGUGUUAACUAUAUAACAUCAUUAGAAUAAUUAAUUGGAACAGUUUACGCACAUAAAUCUGAGUUUAUGUUAAGUAUUAUUGAAUUUCUGUUGUAAGGCAUUCACAUAUAUCAGUUGCUUACGUUAAAAUUCCAUGUGACAUUAUAAAUAUUUUCCCCUUCCCCUUUCUCAAGACUCUCUCUCUCUCUCUCUCUCUCUCUCUCUCUCUCUCUGUAUUCCAUGAUGACGAGGAUGAUGGUUAUGGUAAUCAUGAUGAUGGUUAUGGUUAUGUACAAGUCAUGAAGGUGUAAUAUAGAACGUACAGACUAUAUUAUUUACAAAUCAACUUCAUUGAUCAGGCUCUAUUAAUAUAAUAACUUGUAAAGGACGUAAACAUUUUGGACAAUGAGGUUAGGUAAUCAAAUAUUGACCUGGUUCGUUACGGAAUAAGUACUCGCCUUACCAAGAACGAGCAGAAUGGUGAGACCAUAAGAGAGACAAGCAACACUAAAUACAUAUCUUUUUCAAAUGCCCCGAAAUAUAGUCCUUUGGUUAUAUUGUUAACAUUGCAGGUUUCUGAUAUCUUGAAAUGAAACUUAUGAAUUCAUCCGAUACAUACAUGUUUUUUUUUUUUUUUUUUAAUACUUGUUAAAGUUGUUAAAAACAAAAACAAAAACAAUCUUUAUAAACACUUAAAAACGUGAGAAACCGAUGAACACGUGCCCAUACUUCCCAUCGGCAUAUAACCCUAGCAAGCCAAAAAUGAGUUUGAGUUGCUGCCCUUUUUGAUACGAGAGGAUACAAACUUACAAAGAAAUAAGUGACGAUGAACAUGUUCCAUAAUAUACACAUAUUAAAAAACAAAUCUCUAUAAUUAUAUAAUGUUUAUGACAUCUAAUGAACAUAUUCCUGCACAGUGAUUUUAAAUGUCAGAUUAUUUAGUUUGGAUGUAUAUUAAAAGCAAGUAUUGCGAAUACAUAACGUGUGUUCUUUACUUUGAAAUUAAUGUCCAAUCAAUACAUUAACCACAGGUGGAUAAUAGUUGGUUCUCUGUAAUGAUGGCGUGUCGGCUAGUUUCUCAGGUGAUGGUCGAGGCAAGACUCAUAUGAUUUAACAGUUUUUGAUGAGAUCAUCACAAAUGGUAGACUGUUCCAAAUAUGAACAUUUCUAGGAUUUUGUCCUCAUCAUUACCCCAAUGUUAUCUACCAAAUAAUAUGUUUUGGUCUCAAAUAUGAAACGCAUUUGAACAUCGACUAUUAACCAGAAAUGAAGCUAAGUAGAGAAAAUUAAAGGAAGGAAAACAUUCUAUCAAUUACAAACGAUCUAUUUUAUACAAAUACAUUCCAAUCUAUCAGUAAGCUAUAUUUUACUAUUUGCAUAUAUUCUAUACUUUCAUAUGAAUUACUUUUAACCGAAACUAAACAAUGUGUCCUUGUUUUCUAUACACCCUUAUUAACAUUUAUUGAAAAUAUGUAUUAUGUAACAUGCUAUACCGAAUACUGAGUUAUUAUGUUAUAAAGUUGUAAUACCGUAUUUUGUGUUUUACUGUAAGUUGUGUUUUACCAUGUGUUGUGUUUUGCUGUAUGAUGUGAAACACUGUCAGUUAUGUUAUGUUGUAUGCUGUACUGUCCUGUGUGAUGUGUUGCCAGGUAAGCAGUUUAUUUUGCAGAAAGUUGUGCUGUACUGUAUGAUGUGUAAUGUGUGUACUAUUGCAAGUUGUGUUAAACUUUAUGUUAUGUUUAAGUAAUGUGUAAUGUUUUCAGUAAGUUUCACUGUACUGUGUGUUGUAUUGUACUACAUGUAUAUGUUGUGCUGUCCUGUGUGCUUUGCCGCCAGGAAAACAGUGCUAUUUUGCAGUAAUUUGUGCUGUACUGCGUUUUUUAUUGUACUUUAUGCUGUGCUGUCUUGUUGGCUUUGCUGCUAGGUAAGCUUUUUGUAGUACGUUGUGCUUUACUGUGUGGUGUAUUGUACUGAGUGUUAUUCUGCCUUUUGUGUUGUCCUGCCAGGUAAGUAGUGCAUUUUUGUAGUAUGUUGUGUUUUACUGUGUAUUGUAUUGUAAUGAGUGUAGUGCUGCCAGGUGUUUUUUUAUGUAGCAAGUUUUGCUGUAUGGUAUGCUGCGCUUACCUGUAUGCUGAGUUGUACUGUAUACGAUAUUUUACUGUAUGCUGCAGUGUAACUAACUGUCAUAUCACAUUUUGUUUGGAAUUUACUAA